GACGAACGCUGGCGGCGUGCCUAAUACAUGCAAGUCGAACGCAGUGGGGACGGGUGAGUAACACGUGGGUAACCUCCCAUCAGAGGGGAUAACCCUUGGACACAGGUGCUAAACCCAUACUGAUGGCUGGACCCGCGGUGCAUUCGCUAGUUGGUGGGGUAACGGCUCACCAAGGCCACGAUGCAUAGCCGGCCUGAGAGGGUGAGCGGCCACACUGGAACUGAGACACGGCCCAGACUCCUACGGGAGGCAGCAGUAGGGAAUCUUCGGCAAUGGACGAAAGUCUGACGGAGCAACGCAGCGUGAGUGAAGAAGGUUUUCGGGUCGUAAAGCUCUGUUGUUAGAGAAGCGGUAACUAACCAGAAAGCCACGGCUAACUACGUGCCAGCCGCCGCGGUAAUAC
rnacentral:rRNA from 1 species